GCUCUAUUUGUAGUGUAUAUACUGAAAUUGAAAUGAUACAGAGAUUAUUAGUGUGACCCCUGUGUAAGAAUGGCAUGCAAAUUUCUAGUGUUCCAUUUUUCU
ensembl:snRNA U6 U6 spliceosomal RNA